rnacentral:rRNA from 1 species
UACGUAGGUGGCAAGCGUUGUCCGGAAUUAUUGGGCGUAAAGCGCGCGCAGGCGGUCCUUUAAGUCUGAUGUGAAAGCCCACGGCUCAACCGGUGGAGGGUCAUUGGAAACUGGAGGACUUUGAGUACAGAAGAGGAAAGCGGAAUUCCACGUGUAGCGGUGAAAUCGCGUAGAGAUGAUGGAGGACACCAGUGGCGAAGGCGGCUUUCUGGUCUGUAACUACGCUGAGGCGCGAAAGCGUGGGGAGCAAACGG